rnacentral:rRNA from 1 species
UAGCCCUAAAUCUUGAUGACCCCAAACACAAACAUCCGCCUGAGAACUACGAGCACAAACGCUUAAAACUCUAAGGACUUGGCGGUGCUCUAAACCCACCUAGAGGAGCCUGUUCUAUAAUCGAUAACCCACGAUUCACCCGACCACCUCUUGCCAAAACAGCCUAUAUACCGCCGUCGCCAGCCCACCUCGUGAGAGCACAACAGUGAGCCCAACAGCCCACAGCCCACUAACAAGACAGGUCGAGGUAUAGCCUAUGAGAUGGAAGAAAUGGGCUACAUUUUCUAAAAUAGAAAACCCAACGAAAAGGGGCUUGAAACCUGCCCCCAGAAGGCGG